rnacentral:rRNA from 1 species
CUCCUACGGGAGGCAGCAGUAGGGAGUCUUGCGCAAUGGGCGAAAGCCUGACGCAGCGACACCGCGUGAGGGACGACGGCCCUCGGGUUGUAAACCUCUUUCGGCAGGGACGAAGCGAUCGUGACGGUACCUGCAGAAGAAGCUCCGGCUAACCACGUGCCAGCAGCCGCGGUAAGACGUAGGGAGCGAGCGUUGUCCGGAUUCAUUGGGCGUAAAGAGCGCGCAGGCGGUUUGGUAAGUCGGAUGUGAAAACCCGGGGCUCAACCCCGGGCGUGCAUCCGAUACUCCCGGACUAGAGGUAGGUAGGGGAGAUCGGAAUUCCUGGUGUAGCGGUGAAAUGCGCAGAUAUCAGGAGGAACACCGGUGGCGAAGGCGGAUCUCUGGGCCUUACCUGACGCUCAGGCGCGAAAGCUAGGGGAGCGAACAGGAUUAGAUACCCUGGUAGUCCUAGCCGUAAACGUUGGGUGCUAGGUGUGGGGGGAUAUCGACCCCCUCCGUGCC